AUGAGUCCACGGCGGAGCCACCACGUGAAGGGUCAAUUUCAAAAAAAAUUAUGUCAAUCGAAUCGGUUUCUCCUCCUCCACUCGAAUCCACAAUUAGUUUUUCAAGAAAAGAAGUUAAAGAGGAUAGAUCUACAACGAAGUUUCAGAAACUUUGUUCAAAACAACAACAAUCGCAAAAUGAUGAAGGAUUCAGUGUCAGGGAAGGAUUAUCAAAAUUUUGGAGUAGAAAGGGUGGAGAAUAUAGGAGGAGGAAGAAGGUCUCAGAUGGCGGUUUCUGGCGAUAAAGAGGCGGUUCCGGUCAAGUGA